rfam:Enterococcus casseliflavus EC20, complete genome.
GUUAAAAGUUUAACUGUACCGAAGACAGUAGGUGGCAUUUGCCUUAAUUUCCUACCGAGGACGUUUAUUGAGAACCUUCAAUAGUCCCUCUAUGUCUACGGUGGCAUAGAGUUUUUUAUUGUCUUUU